rnacentral:tRNA from 1 species
GAGGGUAUAGCUCAGCAGUAGAGCGUGUGCUUCACAUGCACAAGGUCCUGGGUUCAAUCCCCAGUCCCUCCA